AUCUAUCUGACGAGUCCGGAAUAGAAUGAAAUGCGCAUCCUGAAU
rnacentral:hammerhead_ribozyme from 1 species